AGGGAUGGGAGUACUGUAUAUAUAUUCACACAUCAUCCCCAAGGCUACACAUUCCAGCUUCUAGAAAGGCAGCAGGACAGAGGAAGCCUCCAGAUCUCCAAAAAAAAGCCAAGCAUGGGCAGUCUGAAGACAGUAUUCCUGAUCACCCUAAUCCUGGCCAUCUCUUAUCAACAUGUAGAAGCACUACUUCCUAGUGUGCCGCAGGACUGUUGUUUUGGCUUUACUCAGAGAAGUUAUAUUCGACGAAAUAACGUAAGGAGUUACUACAAGACUUCCAGUGAUUGCUACUUAAAUUCUGUUGUGUUUGUCAUGAAGAAUGGUAAGCAGAUCUGUGCUGACCCCGGAAUGACAUGGGUGAAGAAUCUAAUGUCACAGCUGAAAGAAAGGAAGUAAAAACAAUUUUGAAGAAUUGGAGAGAAAUUUCUCUGGGACGUGAACGAAGACCAUGAAUUGUUCCCCCUUUUCCAGAUUCUCCUUAGCAGCUUCUCUGCUUUGCACACUAUUUCAUCACUCAAAGGCAAACAUCUACAAACAUUUAAACAGCACUGAAAAUAGCAUAACUGGGGCCACUUAUCCAGUGCCCAAAAUGCAAUAUCAACAAAGAGGACUACAUAAUUUGUAUGCAUGCAUGUAAAUGUAGAAAUAAGUGGUAUAGUUUAAAUAGAAAGACAAUGCAUCUCACCAUCAUGAGGAAGAUGGGGGAACCCAGUGAUGAGCAACUUCAAGGCUUCUCCCUUUUUAGGGUACUUUAUCUUUAAACUGAACUAAGAUAGCUCUUUAAAUAGAUGGCUGUCUUCCAAUAGCUGUUCAAAAAGAGGAUGGCCCACUCUAUAGGUUUCCCCCUCUCCCCAAAAACUUUAGGAAUUGUUGUUUAUGGCCUGCAAAUAAAUGACUCACUCUUUAUGCAACUCCAGUUCCCAGAAUUCUGUGGGCUGGAAACCAUGAUCAUUAGGCCACGAUCAAAACAUUUUUAAACUUUGCAGUGCAGACAGAAUAAUGGCUGAGAGUUGUAUCUAAUGUUAGUUAUCAUCAGAGUGGACCCACUGAAAUUAAAGGACAUUUAUUUAUUUAACAAAAUUUAUAGAUCUCUUGAUUGUAAUAAAACCUCAAAGCGAUUUACAAAAAAACAUUAAAAUGAUUACUAAAAAGACAGUUAAAACAGAUAUUUAUAAACACUCAAAAACGAAUUAAAAUUAACAAUAAGCUAGAAACAAAACACAUUAUUUAGGCUUGCCUAAACAAAAAAUUUUAAGCAGGUGCCAGAAAGAGUACAACAAAGGUGUCUACCUGAUGUCAAUAGGCAGGGAGUUCGAAAGUGUAGAUGCUGCCACGCUGGAAGGUUGAUUUCUUACAACUGCAGAACGAUUGUUAUGUGGCACCUGAAACAGUGCCAGUUCUACAGAUCAUAGCAGUCAAGUGGGCAUAUGUGGGGUAAGGCAAUCCUGUGAGUAAACUGGUCCCAAACUAUUACUCUCUGAGUAAAACUUAAUUGGAUAUAACCCAGAGUCUUUGAAUGCCCCCGCACUACCACUAGCACCGUGGCCUUUCUGGAUAUAACCUCCCAUUUAUGAAAUAAGCAAACUAACACCAGAUUAUAUAUGAAACCACCAACAGCAGCAACUGACAAGCGGGUCAUAUUCACUACUGUACUAAACAGUGCUGCCAUCACUGGGCUAUCGAUGCCUCCUUCCGGCCUCUCCUGAUUUCACUGCAGCAUCACCAAGUCCAGGCUUCCUCCCUCAUCCAGCCUGCACUGUCCAAGAUAGCUCUCACAGGAGGACUCUUCCUCCUCCUCUCCUCUUGGAACAAGACUUCUUCCAUGUUUGGUGUACUCCCUCCUGAAAGAAGCUCAGCAAUAGCUUCCAAAAGCAAGACACUUUUGGUCCAUCAGGCCAAAGGAGCAGGCUGAUUGUAACUCUUACUACUGAUAUUACUUUAGAAUGUUCUCAUGUUUGUAGACGUUUUAGAGAAGAUGGAAUAUAAGCUUAAAAGAAUAAAGAUAAAACGAACAGUCAAUAUGUUGUUUUAUUAUUUAUUUAUUUACUAAUUAAUAACAUUUGUAGGCCGCCCCCAUUAAACAUUCUUCACUUUAAAAGGGGGGGGGAAUCCUAUAGUCACCGUAUGAAAACAUUUGCUUUAGAAGCCAGGUAAGAACAGGCCACUGCAGCAGUGUCGACCAAGAUAACACAGGUACAUAUCUGUCACAUGUACUUCUGACUUAUCUGAUGGAGCAAAGAUGCACUUCUCAGAUGCCGUACUUUCGUCUUGAAGGAAAUAGUGCAUGGAUGCAGCUUCAGAACUUUCUGUGGUAAAUAGGGUAGAUAGGGAAUCUGUCCGUUUUUGUUUCUUUCAGUUUCUAAUUUUUCCC